rnacentral:rRNA from 1 species
AGAGUUUGAUCCUGGCUCAGAACGAACGCUGGCGGCGUGCUUAACACAUGCAAGUCGAACGCGAAAGGGACUUCGGUCCCGAGUAGAGUGGCGCACGGGUGAGUAACGCGUAAGUAAUCUACCCCUGUAUCUGGAAUAACCCACCGAAAGGUGAGCUAAUACCGGAUACGUUUAUCUUGAUGCGAAUGAUGAUAAAGAAAGGUGGCCUCUUCAUGAAAGCUACCGUACAGGGACGAGCUUGCGUACCAUUAGCUGGUUGGUAGGGUAAUGGCCUACCAAGGCGACGAUGGUUAGCGGGUCUGAGAGGAUGAUCCGCCACACUGGAACUGAAACACGGACCAGACUCCUACGGGAGGCAGCAGUGAGGAAUAUUGCGCAAUGGGGGCAACCCUGACGCAGCGACGCCGCGUGGACGAUGAAGGCCCUUGGGUCGUAAAAUCCUGUCAGAUGGAAAGAAAUGUACAGGUGUUAAUAUCGCCUGUAUUUGACGGUACCAUCAAAGGAAGCACCGGCUAACUCCGUGCCAGCAGCCGCGGUAAUACGGAGGGUGCGAGCGUUGUUCGGAAUUACUGGGCGUAAAGCGCGCGUAGGCGGUUUGCUAAGUCAGAUGUG